CUCUCUCCUACUUUCUCUUCCUAUCUCUCUCUACUCUCUCUUCCAAAAUUUAAUUUUCAUUUUUUUUUGGUUAUUUGGUAAAUAAGCCCAAAAUUAAAAACUAUCGCAAAUAAACCAACUGAAAAAAGAAAUGUCUCCAAUCAAAAAAGAGCUCCACUAACCACGAUCUCUAAUUUCUUAAAACUGUAAAAUCUUAAAUUCCUAAUUUUUUUCUAAUGAAC
rnacentral:lncRNA from 1 species